UUGUGUGAGGAAUUUCUCGUCUCGCCUCGUUAAAACAUAAACCAAUACUCUGCGGGACGUCAGUUUCCCUGGUGUUGGCGCAGUAUUCGCGCACCCCGGUUAAUCC
rnacentral:sRNA from 2 species